UACGAAGGUGGCAAGCGUUGUUCGGAUUUACUGGGCGUACAGGGAGCGUAGGCGGUUGGGUAAGCCCUUCGUGAAAUCUCCGGGCCUAACCCGGAAAGUGCGGAGGGGACUGCUCGGCUAGAGGAUGGGAGAGGAGCGCGGAAUUCCCGGUGUAGCGGUGAAAUGCGUAGAGAUCGGGAGGAACACCAGUGGCGAAGGCGGCCGGCUGGGCCAUACCUGACGCUGAGGCGCGAAAGCGUGGGGGAGCGAACCGG
rnacentral:rRNA from 1 species